rnacentral:lncRNA from 1 species
AAGGAUGCCAUAGACAAAGAAGGAAGCCAUUCACACUGAAGAACCCAUGCAAGUUUCCAGAAUUGGAGGCACCAGGUGAUUUGGAAGGCACGGGUUACUGCUCCUUGGAAGCCCUCCAAUGCUCCAUGGAACUAUUCUUUGGAAGCCCUGCAAGCCCUGUCCAUAAAGUUCUAAUUGGCUUUCUAGUGACUCACUGCGAAGUAUUAAUGGACAGCCAAAUACAUCAGACAUUAGAGAAAAGCUUUCAACAUGAAAAACAAAGAUCAAAACAAACUAACUAGGGAAAAAAAGGAACAAGAAGGAAACAGAAAAUGCAGGGUGCAGAGGAAAUUUUCAAAAUAUUUGAUUAAUAUCCUCAAGGAGACAAGAAUAUAUGUCACACUAAUAAAGAACAGGACAAUAUUAAAAAGAAGCCUUCAGGAAAUAAAAAAUUAACAGUAUAUAAGCAUAUUCUCACUCAUAUGGAAGCGAAAAAGUUGAUCUCAUAGAAAUAAGAAGUAGAACAGAGGAUACUUGAGGCUGGGAAGGGUGAGGAGAAGAAAGGAAUAGGGAGCUAUUUGUUAAAGGACAUAAAACUAUAGCUAAUAGGAAGAAUAAGUUCUAGUGCCCUAUACCACUGUAGGAUAUUAUAUAUUUCAAAUAGCUAGAAAGAAGACACUGUUCCCAAUACAAAGAAAUAAUAACUGUUUGAGGUGAUGGAUAUGCAAAUUAUCCUUAUCUGAUCACUAUACAUUAUAUGUAGUGAAGCAUCACUAUGUACCCCAUGAAUAUGUAUAAUUGUUAUUUGUCAAUUUAAAAAUAAAAUUAAAAAAGAAAAUGAAGUAUAAGAGUAUAAUUUUUUUUAAUCAAUAAGACAGGCCAGGCACAGUGGCUCAUCCCUGUAAUCCUAGCACUUUAGGGGGCUGAGGCGGGCAGAUCACUUUGAGCUCAGGAGUUUGAUACCAGCCUAG